rnacentral:misc_RNA from 1 species
CAGCCGCGUAAUUCCAGCUCCAAUAGCGUAUAUUAAAGUUGUUGCAGUUAAAAAGCUCGUAGUUGAACUUCGGGGUUUACCCAUUGGUCAGGCUUAAUUGUCUGUACUGGUGAGAUAAAUCUCUACCUUCUGAGGAACUUUCAUGCCAUUUAGUUGGUGUGAUAGGAAAUCAGGACUGUUACUUUGAAAAAAUUAGAGUGUUUAAAGCAGGCUAACGUCUGAAUACAUUAGCAUGGAAUAAUGAAAUAGGACGGAUUGGUUCUAUUUCGUUGGUUUCUAGGAUCACCGUAAUGAUUAAUAGGGAUAGUUGGGGGCAUUAGUAUUCAAUUGUCAGAGGUGAAAUUCUUGGAUUUAUUGAAGACUAACUAUUGCGAAAGCAUUUGCCAAGGAUGUUUUCAUUAAUCAAGAACGAAAGUUAGGGGAUCGAAGACGAUCAGAUACCGUCGUAGUCUUAACCAUAAACUAUGCCGACUAGGGAUCGGACGAAGUUAAUUUUAUAAUGACGCGUUCGGCACCUUACG